UACAGAGGUGGCAAGCGUUGUUCGGAAUUACUGGGCGUAAAGGGCGCGUAGGCGGCCUUCUAAGUCAGACGUGAAAUCCCCCGGCUUAACCUGGGAACUGCGUCUGAUACUGGAGGGCUUGAGUAUGGGAGAGGGAUGUAGAAUUCCAGGUGUAGCGGUGAAAUGCGUAGAGAUCGGGAGGAACACCAGAGGCGAAGGCGGCGACCUGGACAAGUACUGACACUCAACUACGAAAGCGUGGGGAGCAAACAGGG
rnacentral:rRNA from 1 species